AUGCUACCACUACCCGUCCACCUGUCCUUCAUGCGCGGCCACUACUGGGCGGGCAUGAAGGCCAACUGGAUCGUCCUCAUCCACCAAUCAGGUAGUCCGUGGCGUCUCGUGGAUAUCUACACCCAGCGAGAGAUCACCCUUCCAUCGUUGGAUACCGCCGCCAUCGAGCCUCGCGGCCCACCUGACACUCUUGCCUACUACGCACGAGACGCGUCAAGCUUUUGGCUCGACCUCCGUUUGCUGAAAGUUGUAAUCCGCGAAGUGCCCACACCAUCAGAAGACUACAUGGAUUACAAGCUCAUUGCCUUGUUCAACAUGGGAUUAGUCUAUCUGGAAUCCGGUCGCCAUACAUGGUUAUGGCUCAUCGUCAAUCCUGUUGAGGCAACAUUUCUGUUUGAUGCUAUAGUGCAUGAUGGCUGCCUAUACUGGUGGAAUCUAUCAUCGUCAGACGCAAAUGCGCUGGCCCUCAUGAUUCCAGGACCUGGAAUCAUACCAGCCGAUGGGUCGAGCAAGUUUCAACUGGGCUGUAGACUGCCCAGGCUUGGUUUUGUUUUUAACAGGCCCAGCCCACGACGACAACGGGGCACAAAGAUCCAGCAGUUUUACUAG
rnacentral:rRNA from 1 species